GACGAACGCUGGCGGCGUGCUUAACACAUGCAAGUCGAACGGUAAGGCCCUUCUGGGUACACGAGUGGCGAACGGGUGAGUAACACGUGGGUGAUCUGCCCUGCACUUCGGGAUAAGCCUGGGAAACUGGGUCUAAUACCGGAUAGGACCACUGCCUGCAUGGGCGGUGGUGGAAAGCUUUUGCGGGGUGGGAUGGGCCCGCGGCCUAUCAGCGUGUUGGUGGGGUGAUGGCCUACCAAGGCGACGACGGGUAGCCGGCCUGAGAGGGUGGCCGGCCACACUGGGACUGAGAUACGGCCCAGACUCCUACGGGAGGCAGCAGUGGGGAAUAUUGCACAAUGGGCGCAAGCCUGAUGCAGCGACGCCGCGUGAGGGAUGACGGCCUUCGGGUUGUAAACCUCUUUCAGCACCGACGAAGCGCAAGUGACGGUAGGUGCAGAAGAAGGACCGGCCAACUACGUGCCAGCCGCCGCCGUAA
rnacentral:rRNA from 1 species